UGAGGAAUAUUCGGCAAUGGGGGCAACCCUGACCGAGCAACGCCGCGUGGAGGAUGACGGUUUUUGGAUUGUAAACUCCUUUUCUCAGGGAAGAGUGAGGACGGUACCUGAGGAAUAAGUCACGGCUAACUACGUGC
rnacentral:rRNA from 1 species